AAUAAUACUAACAAUAAAGUUAAAAGUUACACUAAAAAAAGAGUCGAGACAGCUGAAGUAAAAAUCUACGAGGAAAAAAGUUGGUUAGCUAGCUACUAACUAGCAAAAAAUCUAGCUACGUAGUUAGCACCUAGCUUUACUGCGUCAUGUGUAACUGCAAAUUUAUCGCCAGUUAGCGGGACGAAGUUUGUACAUUUCUGUCUCAAAAUUCAGGUUUU